UACAGAGGGUGCGAGCGUUGUCCGGAAUCACUGGGCGUAAAGGGCGCGUAGGUGGCCCGACCAGUCGGUGGUGAAAGUUCGACGCUUAACGUCGAAUCGGCCACCGAUACUGUUGGGCUCGAGCACUGUAGAGGCUAAUGGAAUUCCGGGUGUAGCGGUGGAAUGCGUAGAGAUCCGGAAGAACACCGGUGGCGAAGGCGGUUAGCUGGGCAGUUGCUGACACUGAGGCGCGACAGCGUGGGGAGCAAACAGG
rnacentral:rRNA from 1 species